GUCGAGCGGACCUUUCGGGGUCAGCGGCGGACGGGUGAGUAACGCGUGGGAACGUGCCUUCCGGUUCGGAAUAACCCUGGGAAACUAGGGCUAAUACCGGAUACGCCCUUAUGGGGAAAGGUUUACUGCCGGAAGAUCGGCCCGCGUCUGAUUAGCUAGUUGGUGGGGUAACGGCCUACCAAGGCGACGAUCAGUAGCUGGUCUGAGAGGAUGAUCAGCCACACUGGGACUGAGACACGGCCCAGACUCCUACGGGAGGCAGCAGUGGGGAAUAUUGGACAAUGGGCGCAAGCCUGAUCCAGCCAUGCCGCGUGAGUGAUGAAGGCCUUAGGGUUGUAAAGCUCUUUUAUCCGGGACGAUAAUGACGGUACCGGAGGAAUAAGCCCCGGCUAACUUCGUGCCAGCAGCCGCGGUAAUACGAAGGGGGCUAGCGUUGCUCGGAAUCACUGGGCGUAAAGGGCGCGUAGGCGGCGUUUUAAGUCGGGGGUGAAAGCCUGUGGCUCAACCACAGAAUGGCCUUCGAUACUGGGACGCUUGAGUAUGGUAGAGGUUGGUGGAACUGCGAGUGUAGAGGUGAAAUUCGUAGAUAUUCGCAAGAACACCGGUGGCGAAGGCGGCCAACUGGACCAUUACUGACGCUGAGGCGCGAAAGCGUGGGGAGCAAAACAGGAUUAGAUACCCUGGUAGUCCACGCCGUAAACGAUGAAAUGCCAGCUGUUGGGGUGCUUGCACCGCA
rnacentral:rRNA from 1 species